rnacentral:misc_RNA from 1 species
GGAAGGAAAAGUCGUAACAAGGUUUCCGUAGGUGAACCUGCGGAAGGAUCAUUAUUGUAUAACCGAGGUGCGAGGGCUGUCGCUGACCCGAAAGGUCGUGCACGCCCGAGUGCCCUCACACACAUCCAUCUCACCCCUAUGUGCACCACCGCGUGGGUCCCCCUUUGGCUUGUUCGGAGGGGGGCUUACGUUUUCACACAAACUUUGUAUGCAGUGUAGAAUGUAUUUUUUGUUUUUGCGAUCACGCAAUCAAUACAACUUUCAACAACGGAUCUCUUGGCUCUC